rnacentral:rRNA from 1 species
GCCAGGAGCCAUUUCACAACUGGCAACCCACUGAAGCUCAGCUAGUGUGAGCCUGGUCAGUACCUGGAAGGGAGACCUCCUGGGAAGAACUAAGGUUGCUGCUGGAA